CCACUUCUUCGUUUCAUAAACCCUCCCCUCCUUUCCUUCUCUCUCUCUCUCCGCCUCCCUCGGCCACAAGAGUCUUGGGUCUCAAACGCUACUAGAUCUUGAAUUGUUUUCUUCGGCUUCAUCUAGUUCUGGUCCUGAUACCAUUACUCGAAUAGCAGUUUUCGUUUUGCACUUUUGAAUUUUUAGAUCCUCUUGAUCUUCUUCUAACUGUUUCGUUAAUUUCUGGUCUUCUUGAUCCGUCUCAUUCACCCAUAUUCUUUUAUUAUGGCCAUAUCAUUUCGGUGGUGGUUUUUAGCUCAGGAUGCCCCAGGGAAAUCAGACCCAGGAGUUCAAAACUCCUUGAUUUGCCGAAAGGAAUAGUAGUUUGAGUCAUUGGUGUUAUUAUUAUUAUUAUUAUUAUUAUUGUGGGUGCGUUUGCAAACUAUUUAAUUUGUCCGUGCUUAUUAGAUUAUUUAAUCUAAAAGGUACUAAAAAAAACUUUACCUUCAGUACUUCAUCCUUUCUGCGCAGUUUCUUUCAUAUUUUCCUAUUAGGGUUCCUUCAGGUCAUUCUGCUACCUUCCCACCCAAAUCUUAAGUGCCACGUAUGUCAACCCAUGGAGAGUUUGUGAGAAAACCCCAGUUGGAUUUUGGAGCAUUAUUCCGCUAUUUCACCGUUUCCGUUAACGCUUCCACAGUCGUUGUUUGCGGGCGCAGCAUCAUUAAGAUUCACAUGCCAUCAAUGCACGGAGAAUCUCUUCCAACUGUGGUAUUUGAGAAUCUUGAUGAUGCUGCAUCGGCGGAUGAAUGACUACAAAAAUAGCAGGAUGACAUGUGGCGAACUCUUGUAUCAGAAUGAGGUGAACUCUUGCAUCAGAAUGAGGUGAACUCUUUUCAACUCACUGACUUUUCUUUUCCAUACCAUUUUUUUUUUCCACUUAAUUUCGUGGCUAUUAAUUGGACAUGCAUGCUGCGGACUUUAUCCCCCCUCUCUUCUUGCCAUUUGUCCUCAAUGACUUGAUUGUUUUUUCAUUAUGUAUGGUUGAUCAUUUUCAUGAAUCGAGGGAGAAAUUGAAAGGGAGGCUAUUAAAGUGCAAGAAUUAUGGAAGAGACUAAGAACUGUCAAGUCAGGUCUCUGAUAUUUUCGAAGCAUAUGAAAUAUGCAGAUUUCCAUUGUGUGCCACGUGUUUGAUAGUGGAUUGUUGAUACAAAUUCAGGUUUAGGGUUUUGUACCCUGAAGAAGAAUUUUUUUGUUGAUAUCAUAGUCCCCUUCCCCCCCCCCCGCCCCCGGGCGGAAAUAUAUAGCCUAGCGAUGAUCAGUGUGGAACCAGGAAUUUAUCUUUGGAGGGUCGGACUAAAUAAUAUAUUUAUGAUAAUGAAAAUAUCAGUUAUAGAAUAUAUUAUAUGUAUGGUCCAUAUUGUUUAUGAUCAUCGUCAAAUAUAAGAAAUUAUAAGUAAAUGAAAACUCAUUACAUUCGUUGUA